UCCCCUCUCAAGCCCGCCCUCUCCUUUCCCCUCAUGUCCGCCUUCUCUUUGCGGCCCCCUCCAGAUCGAGGGCGGCAUAGGGUUCUGAUACCUUCGCCGGUCUUCCCCCAAGCAAGAAAAUGUCUGAUCUCAACCCAUCUUUUUCUUGAUCUCAACCCAUCUCUUUCUUGUUUCUUUGCCUUGAGCUAUUAUACGAAUUCCUGGUGUUUCUUGGCAAGAUCCAACGAUUGAUCGGGUAAAAGGGGCUGCUAGGCAACGAUUCAAGAAAAGACAAGAUCUGCAUGUGAAGAUAUUUAGUCAAGCAAAAGCAGUGUCGAUUAAUCGGUCUCUUGUUCACGCUUUCUCCGCUAUGAUUCACCAAGAAUAUUUUCUUCUUGUUCUCGAUUGGGGUAAACUCUGGAUUUGUCCAGGUAAAGAACAAAACUUAACUGAAUGGUGUGCAACUUAUACUUAUUGUUGGAAUAUUUCAAAAUUCCGAGUCUGCCCUUCUUUGUCUUUUGUCCUUUUAUCUAGUGUACUUUCUUUAGUCCCACAUUGGAAAGGAAUAAAACUCAAAAGAUCUUUAUAUAGUAUUCAACCUUUUAACUUGGUGAAGCAAAGAAAGAAAGUAGCCCACGCGCGCAUGAGCCCAAUG